rnacentral:rRNA from 1 species
GAGGAAUAUUGGUCAAUGGCCGAGAGGCUGAACCAGCCAAGUCGCGUGAGGGAUGAAGGUUCUAUGGAUCGUAAACCUCUUUUAUAAGGGAAUAAAGUGCGGGACGUGUCCCGUUUUGUAUGUACCUUAUGAAUAAGGAUCGGCUAACUCCGUGCCAGCAGCCGCGGUAAUACGGAGGAUCCGAGCGUUAUCCGGAUUUAUUGGGUUUAAAGGGUGCGUAGGCGGCCUUUUAAGUCAGCGGUGAAAGUCUGUGGCUCAACCAUAGAAUUGCCGUUGAAACUGGGGGGCUUGAGUAUGUUUGAGGCAGGCGGAAUGCGUGGUGUAGCGGUGAAAUGCAUAGAUAUCACGCAGAACCCCGAUUGCGAAGGCAGCCUGCCAAGCCAUUACUGACGCUGAUGCACGAAAGCGUGGGGAUCAAACA